AGUGAACGCUGGCGGUAGACCUAACACAUGCAAGUCGAACGGCAGCACAGUAAGAGCUUGCUCUUACGGGUGGCGAGUGGCGGACGGGUGAGGAAUACAUCGGAAUCUACUUUUUCGAGGGGGAUAACGUAGGGAAACUUACGCUAAUACCGCAUACGACCUACGGGUGAAAGCAGGGGAUCUUCGGACCUUGCGCGAUUGAAUGAGCCGAUGUCGGAUUAGCUAGUUGGCGGGGUAAAGGCCCACCAAGGCGACGAUCCGUAGCUGGUCUGAGAGGAUGAUCAGCCACACUGGAACUGAGACACGGUCCAGACUCCUACGGGAGGCAGCAGUGGGGAAUAUUGGACAAUGGGCGCAAGCCUGAUCCAGCCAUACCGCGUGGGUGAAGAAGGCCUUCGGGUUGUAAAGCCCUUUUGUUGGGAAAGAAAAGCAGCAGGUUAAUACCCCGCUGUUCUGACGGUACCCAAAGAAUAAGCACCGGCUAACUUCGUG
rnacentral:rRNA from 1 species